GACGAACGCUGGCGGCGUGCCUAAUACAUGCAAGUAGAACGCACAGUUUAUACCGUAGCUUGCUACACCAUAGACUGUGAGUUGCGAACGGGUGAGUAACGCGUAGGUAACCUGCCUGGUAGCGGGGGAUAACUAUUGGAAACGAUAGCUAAUACCGCAUAAUAUUAAUUAUUGCAUGAUAAUUAAUUGAAAGGUGCAAUUGCACCACUACCAGAUGGACCUGCGUUGUAUUAGCUAGUAGGUGAGGUAACGGCUCACCUAGGCGACGAUACAUAGCCGACCUGAGAUGGUGAUCGGCCACACUGGGACUGAGACACGGCCCAGACUCCUACGGGAGGCAGCAGUAGGGAAUCUUCGGCAAUGGACGAAAGUCUGACCGAGCAACGCCGCGUGAGUGAAGAAGGUUGUCGGAUCGUAAAGCUCUGUUGUAAGAGAAGAACGGGUGUGAGAGUGGAAAGUUCACACUGUGACGGUAUCUUACCAGAAAGGGACGGCUAACUACGUG
rnacentral:rRNA from 1 species